rnacentral:misc_RNA from 1 species
ACAAACUUGGUCAUUUAGAGGAAGUAAAAGUCGUAACAAGGUUUCCGUAGGUGAACCUGCGGAAGGAUCAUCAAAGGAGGGGGUGGGGAGGAGGUUUCGCGGGGAUCACCCGCGGGAUUUCCUCCUCCUCACCCAACCAAUCUUGUGUGAACUGUAGCGAGCAUACGCGUGGGUGUGUUGGUGGGAAAGGAAGGGGGAGUGUCUCCUACCCACCGCCAUCACGCUUGCACACAACUAUCUCUCAUUCACCUUUGUCUAACCUUUUUUUUCACAAUUAACAACACAACUUUUAACAAUGGAUCUCUUGGCUCUCGCAUCGAUGAAGAACGCAGC